rnacentral:rRNA from 1 species
GGGUUGUGAGGUUAAGCGACUAAGCGUACACGGUGGAUGCCCUGGCAGUCAGAGGCGAUGAAGGACGUGCUAAUCUGCGAUAAGCGCCGGUAAGGUGAUAUGAACCGUUAUAACCGGCGAUUUCCGAAUGGGGAAACCCAGUGUGACUCGUCACACUAUCAUUAACUGAAUCCAUAGGUUAAUGAGGCGAACCGGGGGAACUGAAACAUCUAAGUACCCCGAGGAAAAGAAAUCAACCGAGAUUCCCCCAGUAGCGGCGAGCGAACGGGGAGGAGCCCAGAGCCUGAAUCAGCAUGUGUGUUAGUGGAAGCGUCUGGAAAGGCGCGCGAUACAGGGUGACAGCCCCGUACACAAAAGCGCAUGUGUUGUGAGCUCGAUGAGUAGGGCGGGACACGUGGUAUCCUGUCUGAAUAUGGGGGGACCAUCCUCCAAGGCUAAAUACUCCUGACUGACCGAUAGUGAACCAGUACCGUGAGGGAAAGGCGAAAAGAACCCCGGCGAGGGGAGUGAAAAAGAACCUGAAACCGUGUACGUACAAGCAGUGGGAGCCCCACCACUAAGCCAGUGGUGAACUCCACAUACGCAUCCUUUGCUGAAGGUGCGGUUAACGGAGCGCAAGCGACGUUCAACCUCAAAAGAAGCAGAGGGGGCUUAGUGGUGGGGUGACUGCGUACCUUUUGUAUAAUGGGUCAGCGACUUAUAUUCUGUAGCAAG